AUUGAACGCUGGCGACAUGCCUUACACAUGCAAGUCGAACGGCAGCACAGGUGCUUGCACCUGGUGGCGAGUGGCGAACGGGUGAGUAAUACAUCGGAACAUGUCCUGUAGUGGGGGAUAGCCCGGCGAAAGCCGGAUUAAUACCGCAUACGAUCUACGGAUGAAAGCGGGGGACCUUCGGGCCUCGCGCUAUAGGGUUGGCCGAUGGCUGAUUAGCUAGUUGGUGGGGUAAAGGCCUACCAAGGCGACGAUCAGUAGCUGGUCUGAGAGGACGACCAGUCACACUGGGACUGAGACACGGCCCAGACUCCUACGGGAGGCAGCAGUGGGGAAUUUUGGACAGUGGGCGAAAGCCUGAUCCAGCAAUGCCGCGUGUGUGAAGAAGGCCUUCGGGUUGUAAAGCACUUUUGUCCGGAAAGAAAUCCUUGGCCCUAAUACGGUCGGGGGAUGACGGUACCGGAAGAAUAAGCACCGGCUAACUACGU
rnacentral:rRNA from 1 species